GCUGGCAGCUAGCUCACUGCAACUCACAUUGAAGCUAAGCAGGGCUGUGCCUGGGUUGUACCUGGAUGGGAGACUAAAUGGGAAAGCUAGGUUGCUGUUGGAA
rfam:Danio rerio chromosome 5, GRCz11 reference primary assembly.